rnacentral:rRNA from 1 species
AACGAACGCUGGCGGCGUGUUUAAGACAUGCAAGUCGCACGGAGAAUAUGAAUAGCUUGCUAAUUGUAUUCUUAGUGGCGCACGGGUGAGUAACACGUGAGUUACAUGCCUCACAGAGGGGAAUAGCCCGCCGAAAGGCGGAUUAAUACCCCAUGGUCCCGCAAGGGUAAAGGCGGCUUCGGCUGUCGCUGUGAGAUUGGCUCGCGUCCUAUCAGCUUGUUGGUAAGGUAACGGCUUACCAAGGCAACGACGGGUAGCUGGUCUGAGAGGACGAUCAGUCACACUGGAACUGAGACACGGUCCAGACACCUACGGGUGGCAGCAGUCGAGAAUAAUUCACAAUGGGGGAAACCCUGAUGGUGCAACGCCGCGUGGAGGAUGAAGGCCCUAGGGUCGUAAACUCCUGUCAUUUUGAGAGUAAGACCUGGCAGUUAAUAGCUGACAGGGUUGAUAGUAUCAAAAGAGGAAGGGACGGCUAAC